rnacentral:rRNA from 1 species
UACGGGGGGGCAAGCGUUGUUCGGAAUUACUGGGCGUAAAGCGUGCGCAGGCGGUUUUGUAAGUCUGUCGUGAAAUCCCCGGGCUCAACCUGGGAAUUGCGAUGGAGACUGCAAGGCUAGAAUCUGGGCAAGAGGGGGGUAGAAUUCCACGUGUGAGCAGUGAAAUGCGUAGAGAUGUGGAGGAACACCGAUGGCGAAGG